CUCCUCUACCUACAGGGCUCUCUUUCCAUCUUUGCCUUCAGAUUUCAGCACAAAUACCUCUCUUCCUGGGAGCCUUUUCUGACCAUCUGAUCACUGAUCACCUCCAUGCUGGGUACUGCUUUUCUAAGACUGGCUGUUAUCAGCAUGAAGGGGACCCCAGAUUAUCCUGGAAUCACUUCCCCUUGGAGCUGGAAGAGGACCUAGGCCACCUCCCACCCCUGAGUCACUGAGAACCGUGGAGUACCAGAGCAGAGGUAUAACUGACGGAAGACGAGCUCCACCCUGGCGGUGACACUGCCAUUUUUUGGGAGGCCACGAUGCUCCAAGAACUUGCCUUCUGAUUCACCUCGAGAAUGUUCUGGAAAGGCCUCUCCUAUUUGUCCGCUACGAGACAGAAGCUCCUCGAGAUGGUUUGUCCAUUUAUGAGCCACAGAAACAUGCAUGUCGCUCGAGUGUCAUCCUCAAUUUGAACAUAAAUGAA